GCGAUCGUAGUUUAGUUGGUAAAACACUCAUCUUAAUCAAUCAUUUUGACGAUUAAGCAAAAUUACUGAGAGACGUGGGUUCGACUCCCAUCGAUUGCA
rnacentral:tRNA from 1 species